GGUCUCCUAACUGUGAUAUUAGGCGUCGAUUUCAUGGUGCUCACUUGAGCUAAGGAAAGCCUCAUCUGGGAGGUUCUGCAAAAGUUAGAAGUGAAACUGAAGGAGAAGUACAGAAUAUUUGGGUACCUGAAAAAGGUAAUCACCAAGGAGUUUGUAUAGCAUGGGUACCUGGAGUAUAAACUUGUGAACUAUGACAAUCCACUGGGGUAUGCAUUAUUUUGGGGUCCCAAAGCCAACCAGAAAAACAGUAAGAUGGAAAUUUAAAAUUUUGUGGCCAAAGUCUUUAACAGGGACCUCUGGGACUGGCCAUCACAAUACAGUGAAGCUAUGAAA
rnacentral:lncRNA from 1 species